UUCAACUUAAUUACGGAUCAUAUUUCACUGAUAGUCUAUGAUGUUUGGAACUCAGUUCAAUCAACUAUAAAAUAUCGCACCUCGCUAUCCCCUCCCUCUGCAUCGAAAUUAAAUCAUCUCACGAAAGAUCUUGCAUAUGGUUGCUUAUUCAACAUCAAACAAUUUAGAUAGAUGACUGACCUAUCAAACUCGACAAGUUAAAGGUUCCCAAAUAGAUCAUGCUACUGAAACAUUUCCAAAUAAUCUCAACUUCCCAUAUUCCUCCUAAAUCCUCAAUAAUCAACAAAACAUAAAAUGCUAUACUCAAUCGAUCCCCGAACUUCGCUCAUAAGCACCAAAUAUAUCAAUAGAGCCAAAUCUCGCAGAGCAUAAAAGUCUUUUUUCAAAAAAGAAAAACAAAAAAACAAAAAAGUUAGGAAGAAAUCGGUACCGUACCUUGUGGAUGAGUCCGUCAUCAAAGAUGGAGCAGCUCAAUUUCUUAUAGAGCUCGUACAGAGCCUCCACCUCGUUCACCGUGACUUCACCCAAAGCGAAGAACAAGAAUAUGUAUAAGAACAAGUAGAGACUAGAGAGCACAGCAAAAGGGAGAUCGAGGGGUUGGGGUUUCGAUUACAGCAUCGGGACUCGUCGGCGAGGUCCUGGAAGUUCUUCCUCUGGGGGCGAGGGCGGGGACGAUGGAUCGGGCGGAGAUCGAAGCACUCGGCCACCCCGCAGAGGAUCACCUCGGCGAUUGCGAUGAGCGGGACGAGCACCGCGCACAGCCACUCCCCCACCGUGAGCGACCCCGAUCUCUGAAGCCAAAACGCCAGAUCGAAGACGAAAACAACAGCGAUCGAAUCGGAUCAGCGGCGACGAUGCAAACCCUGCCGAAUCGAAUCGAAACAAGAGAGGGAGAGAGAUCCAACUCACGAUGUCAUCGGAGUAGGGACGAGAAUCCAUUGGCGCCGCCGCCGCCGCCGCCGCCGCCGCCUCCUCCGCCGCAACACGCUUCCGCUUCUCCUCCUCCUCCUCCUCCUCCCCCUCUACAAAUUUAUUAUUAUUAUUAUUACGAUUAUAUUAUUUUCUAAUCUCGUCUUUAUCUCUUUUUUAAUAUUUUUUUUUCUUAUGUUAAGAAUCGAAUGCGUCCUCCCACUGGUAGGGCUGGCAAACGAGCGAGCCGGCUCGCGUUCGACUCGUGUUCGGCUCGAUAUUCGGCUCGCUCGAGCUCGACUCGAAAUUAAAUGAGCCGAGCUUGAACAAAACAAAAGGCUCGAAAUUCAUUUCAAGCUGAGCUUGAGUAUUACUCGGCUCGUUCGAAUUAGGCUCGAAAACCUCUAUAUAUAUAUAUAUAUAUAUAUAUAUAUAUAUAUAUAUAUAUAUAUAUAUAUAUAUAUAUAUAUAUGUCGGGGUUACUAUACUCUUAUGAGUAUAGACCCCCUUGUACUCAUAAAUUUUUAACCGUUGAUUGAUAGGAUGUGUGGUUAGUAUGAUGGUGGUCCCCACUUAGAAUGAUAGUGGUCUCCUAAGAUUGAGUGGGUAGUUGGUUAAAUAGUAUGAUCUAAUGGAUAACAUGAUUAAUGGAAUAAAUCUAAGGGUCGAAAACUUAUGAGUAUAAAGGAGCCAAUACUCAUAAAAGUAUAGCAACCGGACUAUAUAUAUAUAUAUUAUUUAUAAAUAUAAUGUAUUUUAAUUAUAUGUAGGCUUUAAUUUAAUUUGGGUCAUUAUUGUUGGCCCAUAAAAUAAACCCAACAAGUACAAUCGUACAAUUGAGCCCAACUCUAAAUUUACAUAACACACUCUCUCUUUUAGACUUUCACUGUUGCAUAUAACCCUAAAACAUGAUAACAUUCAAAUUUUCAAAUCCCUACUUUUUUUCCUCUCUCUCUUUCUCUCUCUCUCCCUCUCUCUCUCUCAAACCCUCAUCUAGUCAGGAAGUCACCCUAGCUCACAUUUGUUAUAAUUAUUUUGUAUUUUGAACUAUUGGACAUGUUGCAUGAAAUUAUAGGUAAUGUUCUAUAAAAAUUAAACUAUUGAUUAUAUAAUGUCGAGAAUUUCAAUCGGCUCGUUUAGAGCUCGAGCUCGGCUCGACUCGAAAUUAGGCUCGCUCGAGCUCGGCUCGAAUUAAUUUCAAGCCGAGCUUGAGCCUAGAUUUAGGCUCGAAAUUAAUUUCAAACCGAAUUUGAGCUGACAUAAGCUCGCUCGAGCUCGGCUCGUUUCCAUCCCUACCCACUGGGCAUUCUGUUUGGGCUUCAUUUAUGGGCAAAAAGUAAAACGUAUCGAUGGACCCCGCACUUUCUCGAUUUUGACACCAAGGAUCUGAACUUUUUCAUUACGAAAUAAUAUUAUUUUAUUUUAGAAUAGAUUUUGAUUUUUUAAAAAAUUAAUUUAUAAGCAAGAACCCAAAAGAACUUAGUUUUUGUGUAAGAACAAUAAUUCCUUUUUAGUAAUCAGUAAUUAAAAUAGUGAAGUAAUUACAAAGUGCCAUAAUAAAAUUAUUUUUAUAAAAAAUAGUAUGACCAUAAUAAUUAUGUUAAAAUAUAAUAAUUAAGAUAAAAUGAAAUUAAAGUGAAACGUUUUCCGCUAAAUACAUGUGGAGUGGAGGAGGAAUUAUCCCGAAUCCCAAAACUGGAUAGUACAGGGACUAACUACACAUUUUACAGACAGUUAUAGAGACCGAUACGGAAAAGCCUCGUCUAACCACUCAUUGGCCAAUAAGUGGUGGGUCCGAUCUUGCCGCGACACCGCUACUCAUCGAAAUCGUCGGAUGCGGAAGCAACGGAGGGGAGAUGAGUCGAUAAAAUGCGAUAAGAAAGUACGAUAAAAAAAUAUUAUAUUUAUUUUCGUACGUAAUAUUACGUGUCGUAUAUCGCGAUGAGUCAAUUAUGAUAUAUUUUUUAUAAUUUCAUCAAAAAACACAAAAACAUAUUUUUAUAUUUUUUUUAUCCUAAUUCUAUUUUAUCUAAUAGCGUCAGAUAAGACUCAAUACAAAAUUAAACCGAGAGCGGAUUCGAAAGUAGCUUGAGAUACGGAAUUACAAGUUUAAAAACUUGAACAACGGUUGGUACGUCUAGCUUAGCUCACUGAGAAAUUUUACUGUAUUACAUAUUUUUAAAAUAAUAUAUAAUAAUUUUUUUUAUUAAUUAUGGUUGAGACGGAUAAAUUCAAAAAUUAUAAUUUUAUUAAUUAAAAACAUCACAUCACAUCAGUAAUAUAAUUAAAAUCAUGCUAUCAUCACCAAGAUGAUGUCAGAUAAGAUCAAUCACGCUGAUCGAUCGUGAGCAUGAUCAUGACUCCCCAGUGUUAACUUUCGUGUAUUUUAUUACUGGGGCAAUUUUUUUAUUAAUAAACUCACAUGACAAAUUUUUUAUUUAGUGUAUAACAUUAUGCCAAAAGUAAUUAUUUUAUAUUUUGAAAGACCUAAAAGAGUUUUAAAACGUUAUUCAUAUUUACUUUUCUAAUANUUUUAAAAUUUUAAUUUUAAUUGAAAUUUAAAUUUAGAUUUUAAAUUAUUUUAAAAUAAAAUUUAAUAAAAAUAUUAAUUUAUGCAAACAUCAAAAAAUUUUGCCAAACAGCUUUUUAAAAUCACUUAAGAAAAAUCGCUUUUGUCUAAACUCAGUCAAACGCUCUACAGCUUUUAACCAAAAUCACUUCUCCCAACCAAAAUCACUUUUUCAGAAAUUACUUUUUCCGAAAUCACUUUUUCAGAAACUAGGCCGAACGGGCCCUGAGUCAGAGCAACGAACCGGAACUAAUUGUUGUAAUUGCAGCACAAAAAAAUUCUAGUACUCGUUAAAGUUUUGUAAUAAGCUGGAGGAAUCUUAGUUACUUGUGCGCCCCUCCUGACCCAGUUAACUUCUUCAGUUAAAUGUGAAAAGUCCCUUUUAGCUCCAAAAUGAACUUCAAUUGCUUGGUCCUUGGUCCGAGCGAAAAUAUAAAUGUUAAAGUAGUGUAUUCUGAGGUAAAAAUCCAAAAAUAUAAUGAUUUUGUUAUUGCUAAAAUGAUACUUGUGAGAAAAAUAUGAUUAUCUAAUUUCAUAGCAAGCCUCUAUUUGCUUCCACAACUUCAACUUAAUUACGGAUCAUAUUUCACUGAUAGUCUAUGAUGUUUGGAACUCAGUUCAAUCAACUAUAAAAUAUCGCACCUCGCUAUCCCCUCCCUCUGCAUCGAAAUUAAAUCAUCUCACGAAAGAUCUUGCAUAUGGUUGCUUAUUCAAUAUCAAACAAUUUAGAUAGAUGACUGGCCUAUCAAACUCGACAAGUUAAAGGUUCCCAAAUAGAUCAUGCUACUGAAACAUUUCCAAAUAAUCUCAACUUUCCAUAUUCCUCCUAAAUCCUCAAUAAUCAACAAAACAUAAAAUGCUAUACUCAAUCGAUCCCCGAACUUCGCUCAUAAGCACCAAAUAUAUCAAUAGAGCCAAAUCUCGCAGAGCAUAAAAGUCUUUUUUCAAAAAAAAAAAAAACAAAAAAACAAAAAAGUUAGGAAGAAAUCGGUACCGUAC
rnacentral:lncRNA from 1 species